CUUAGCAGGGCCCACUGGGAAAAAAAAAAAAUAAGCCCUUUGGCCUGGAAAUUAAUCUAGGAUGCUCCGUGUGUGACUCCAAACAUUGGAAGAAGGAUGCAAGUACUCUGCAAUCCAGUUACACCAUCCUCCUGGCACAAGACUAACCAUCUCCUAACUCUCGGCAUUUCUUGUGGAGGAGGAGGGGAUGGAGAAGAGGAGCCUGUCUUAUUGAAUUUCUCCCAUUUUCUUCUUGCUAAAGACAAAGAAAACAAACUAGAAGGCACUGACCAAGCAAUGAAAAGCUGGAGCCAGAAGAUAAGGUCCCAGAGGCUGUUCUUGAUAAAAAAAAAAAAAAAGAGUGUGCUGAUUACUCAGCCAACAAAUCCCACAUCACAGAUGCUUUUGUGUUGGAAUAACACUGACUAGGCAGAGACCAGGAAAAAAGAAAGGAAAAAAAAAAUCCAGACAAUUUGGUAAUUAAAUCAUUGCAGGGGACAAAGCAAGUCAUUUUUUCUGAAGUCAAUUUACUCCUAGACCAGACCCUUCCUAUGCUUAGCAUAGUUGCCUGUCACAUAGCACUUAAUAAAUGCUCAUUGAUUGAA